GACGAACCGUACGAACGUUAUUCGGAAUCACUGGGCUUAAAGGGUGCGUAGGCUGUUCGAUAAGUUGGGUGUGAAAUACCUCGGCUCAACCGAGGAAUUGCGCCCAAUACUGCCGGACUUGAGGGAGACAGAGGUAAGCGGAACUUAGGGUGGAGCGGUGAAAUGCGUUGAUAUCCUAAGGAACACCAGUGGCGAAAGCGGCUUACUGGGUCUCUUCUGACGCUGAGGCACGAAAGCUAGGGGAGCGAACGGG
rnacentral:rRNA from 1 species